AUACGGAGGAUCCAAGCGUUAUCCGGAUUUAUUGGGUUUAAAGGGUGCGCAGGCGGCCUUAUAAGUCAGUGGUGAAAUCUCCCGGCUCAACCGGGAAACUGCCAUUGAUACUGUAAGGCUAGAAUACAGACGAGGUAGGCGGAAUGUAGCAUGUAGCGGUGAAAUGCUUAGAUAUGCUACAGAACACCGAUCGCGAAGGCAGCUUACCAGAUUGUAAUUGACGCUAAGGCACGAAAGCGUGGGGAGCGAACAGAAUUAGAUACCCCAGUAGUCC
rnacentral:rRNA from 1 species